UACGUAGGGGGCGAGCGUUGUCCGGAUUUAUUAGGCGUAAAGAGCGUGUAGGCGGCCAGGUAGGUCUGCUGUGAAAACUCGAGGCUCAACCUCGAGCUGUCGGCGGAAACCAUCUGGCUAGAGUCCGGAAGAGGAGAAUGGAAUUCCCGGUGUAGCGGUGAAAUGCGCAGAUAUCGGGAAGAACACCCGUGGCGAAGGCGGUUCUCUGGGACGGUACUGACGCUGAGACGCGAAAGCGUGGGGAGCGAACAGG
rnacentral:rRNA from 1 species